GCUCGGGUGGCGGAAUGGUAUACGCUGACGACUUAAAAUCGUCUGCCGCAAGGCAUGUGGGUUCGACUCCCACCCCGAGCACCA
rnacentral:tRNA from 1 species